GUGGACACAAGGAGUUAGAUGUAGUUAUAUAAAUUAGGUUUUUGGAGGUGGUUGCUAUUUGGUUUAGGYUGAGAUUUUUUCACGCUUUGUGGAGAAGACUGUUUGCAGUUACCAAUGAUCUUUGUUGAGUUCGGAAGCUUGUCCUGAUUAUGGCCAUUGUAUAGAACUCCUCACAUCUACGGAGGGUGAGGUGGCUGCGUGCAGAACUACACAGAGGAUGGGCACCAGGCUCAGCAGCUGGGAUCAACGUGGUGUUCAACGUAGGAACCGUGCCCAUGUCAUAAUUAUAUGAUGGACAUAUUUAAAAAGCAAAUUAUCCAAUGUUGCAUKUGCAAUCUCAGUGACACAAUUUGGCUGCUAAGUCUGUAUAUGAAGCUYGUUGAAUAACCAUUUUUCAAAACAUGUUUUCCUAUGAAAAUAAGUUUUUAGGGAGUAGAAAGCUAGCUGAAUACUUAACCAUCAUAUUUAGUUAAAUAUAAUGCUCUUGUUGUGACUUUUACAUCACACAAAAGCUAUGUAUUACAUUUUUUUUGUCUUUGAACUCAGCCAUAGAAAGUUAUUCUCCUCUCUAGAUAGUUGUAUUAUUUAAGCACUUUUUGUUUUGAUGGAAAUUACUUUUGUAGGAAGAAAUUUACCGCUUUGA